rnacentral:rRNA from 1 species
UACGUAGGGUGCGAGCGUUGUCCGGAAUUAUUGGGCGUAAAGAGCUUGUAGGCGGUCUGUCGCGUCUGCUGUGAAAAUCCGGGGCUCAACCCCGGACUUGCAGUGGGUACGGGUAGACUAGAGUGUGGUAGGGGAGACUGGAAUUCCUGGUGUAGCGGUGAAAUGCGCAGAUAUCAGGAGGAACACCGAUGGCGAAGGCAGGUCUCUGGGCCACUACUGACGCUGAGAAGCGAAAGCAUGGGGAGCGAACAGG